rnacentral:rRNA from 1 species
GACGAACGCUGGCGGCGUGCCUAAUACAUGCAAGUAGAACGCUGAAGGAGGAGCUUGCUUCUCCGGAUGAGUUGCGAACGGGUGAGUAACGCGUAGGUAACCUGCCUGGUAGUGGGGGAUAACUAUUGGAAACGAUAGCUAAUACCGCAUAAUAACAGUUGUUGCAUGACAACUGUUUGAAAGGUGCAAUUGCACCACUACCAGAUGGACCUGCGUUGUAUUAGCUAGUUGGUGGGGUAACGGCUCACCAAGGCGACGAUACAUAGCCGACCUGAGAGGGUGAUCGGCCACACUGGGACUGAGACACGGCCCAGACUCCUACGGGGGGCAGCAGUAGGGAAUCUUCGGCAAUGGACGGAAGUCUGACCGAGCAACGCCGCGUGAGUGAAGAAGGUUUUCGGAUCGUAAAGCUCUGUUGUAAGAGAAGAACGAGUGUGAGAGUGGAAAGUUCACACUGUGACGGUAUCUUACCAGAAAGGGACGGCUAACUACGUGC